rnacentral:lncRNA from 1 species
UUUUUUGUCGGCCAAAGGUUUCAUUAAGAAAAGCCCAACAGGCUAAUACAGUUACAUGAUUAAAACGAAAAUCAACAGCCCAACUAAAUCAUAAUUGCCCUCGAAGUAAUAAGGCCCAGUAGAUAGAUAAAACAAGCAAUAUUUAUUCAGAGGUACACGUGUAGAAGCUAGAUCCUUCACGUAGCCACGCGUCUUAUCAUCUUAGAACCACCGUUAACUUUCGUCAAGCGUCGCCAAAGUUCCGAUCGUCUGUCUUGAAUUAACUGUGGUGCGACAAGUAAACUUUUUCCCUUCUGUCGAUCUCUAUUCCGUUCAUAGAAUCGUCAAAAACCACCGGAUCUUACAUGAAAACUUCUUCAAAUCUCUCUACGAAUCACCAACUCCGGGAAGCUCCAUCACCAACUACACACAAUUUACCGAUGUAGUUUUUUGAUUGCUCUAAAGUCAUGAACAAAGGAAAGUGAUGAAAUAAGAGUAAAAACGGUAAAUCGACAAGAUUAAAACAAAUGGAAUGAGAUCAAAAUAGCUCGCAAGAUGCGAGAAAGCACAUCCGGACUUAAACCGGAACAAAAGAUCCGAUUUAUAAUCGGAAGGAGGACCGACAAAGCUAAUAUUUUACAAACAAAAAAAUCCGGUAGACCGGAAAUCUUCCUUUCUCUCUCUGAAAGAUGAAGAGUGUGAUAAGAGAGAGAAAGUUCAUGACAAAACAAGUUCGUGAUUCAAAUUGAUCAUUUAAAAAAACAAAAUUUAGCUAGGUUAGUCUAGAGUCAACCAAAGUAUCUAAUCAAGUUUUAUAGCACAUGGUCAGAGGGCUCGGAUGUGUAAAAACCACCUUUUGGUAUAUUAGAAUAUGAUCGUAUCAUUCCAGAGGUUUUUCACUCUUAACAUGAAGAAUAAACACGAGACCAUAUGAAUCUGAACAGAACACACUCAUAUAUCAACUAGCGAACAAAUUGAAUCUUCAUAAUCGUUCAUCAGUUCAUCGUCACCAAACAAAUAAACUAUCUGAUUCACAUAAGUUUAACAAGUUAAAAAACAGAGAUAACCGAGGGUUUGUAAGGACGUAAACUGUAAAGGAAUACAAUUUCAGAGUGUGUUGAUUAAACAUUUGGAUAUUCAUAUUGACAAUGCUAGGGAGCCAUUCAAUAUGUUGAACAGAGAGAUUUAGUCCCAAACAAAAAAACAAAAUAGAAUACUAGAAACAAAUAAGACCAAAAAUUUUAGAUUGAAGAGAUCGGAGCAUCAGUUUUAAAAAGCUCGAUUUAUAUAAUCCGCAAGGUUUAUAGGAAAGCACCGUUGUAAGUGCAAAAAAUUCAUCAUCUGAUCCGAUUCCUUCAAUCAAUUUUAAGAAGAACAAAAAUAAUUGGAAAAAAAAAGACAAAACCGAAAAACACUUAUUCCAACAAUACUAGCUUGGAAUUUCAAAUCAUAGAAACUGAAAAACUAAAAAUAUAAGGUAUGGAGAAGAACAACUAAAUAUACCUAGAGGAAUAAGUGAGGCUGUUAGGCAAAGAAAACCAGAGCUUUAUUUUA